GCUAGCUAAUCAGCAGCGCUGGAAAAUAUGUGCAGCUGGCUUGUGAAAGGGCAGUUAUGCAUGCAUUUAGUUAAGCUGGCUAGGUAAUGCUGGCCAGGUUAAUGCAUAGUUACUACGGAGUUGACAAGGAACGCAGGCGCGCUAGCACUUGCUAAUUAGCUAAAUGGCAAGCUAACUGGGCCUGGUAUUCAGGUAGCGCGGUGUGCUGAAUUGCAAACCAUUGUCGUUGCACAUUUCAGGGUUCCCACUCACCACAAAAAGGCAUCAAUCUGCACAGACUACACUGGCUCCCCAUUAGAGAUAUGGAUCCACCUUCAAGUUGUGAUGCUGGCUUUUAAGCCUUGAAAUGGUCUGGAUUCAUUAUACAUCAGUGACCUGCUCCCAGUGUACGUCCCCAUGCCCUGCCACUGCUCUGGGGAACGCACCUUCAGUGGCGAUUUCUGUGUGGCUUCUCCUAAACCCUGGACUGCACUUCCGCAACACGUCCACUCACCGUUGACCUUUUCACUCUCCCCUACAGCUCUGCAUAGCCCUCUGUGUUCUUGUCUUCAGUGUUUUGUGUUGUCACAGUUUUCCUCUUGUUGCUGUACUCUGUAUAAUUACCCAGUCGUCCUUGCUUGGUGACAUGGCCAGAAUAAUCAUAUCUGAGUUUUCCCCCCAGAUAUUUUGGCAAUGCAUUCUGUAUAUCACAAUACUGUUUAAUAACCAGACACUUCAUGGUAAAAUUAUUAAUAAAGGUUUUUGCUGGUUUGUUUUAAAACAAUUUUUUUUGUUUUCAGUGGUUGUCUGUGUUUUGUUGUUUUUAAAUAUUGAGAAGGCCUUAACUUGAACUAACAUUAUCAAUUUUUUCAAAAUCUGGCAACAUCGGGGCAUGUGAUUUCAAAGGUGAAGGUAUAGGCCAGUGGUAAACAACCCUUGUUCCUGGAGAUCUACCAUCCUGUAGGUUUUCACUCCUACCCCAACAAAGCACACACCAUUCAGCAGCUAGAGAUCUUGUUCCGCUGAUGAUUAGUAGAGUCAGGUGUGCCAAGUUUGGGUUGAAAUGAAAACCUACUGGAUGGUAGAUCUCCCGGAACAGGGUUGGGUACCACCGGUAUAGGCCUAUACAUGAAAAUAUUAAUUAAUGUUAUUCAUUUAUAGUAGUGUAUUUAUGUUACUCAUUGAUACUAUGGUUACCGGUUCUGCACGGUUAUCAUAUUGUUUCAAACCCAUGCUGUGACAUGCCUACUUGGCAAGCGAUCAUAAGAACCAAAAAUAAAUAUUGUGCGGAAACAUACUAUGCAGAUGUACUGCAG